rnacentral:lncRNA from 1 species
AAUUGGGGCGAGGGGUUGGCGGCUGGGCGAAGGGAGCGUUCAAAAGCGGAGAAUGUCACUUUACCCGAGAAAUUCACUACGAUGGGCCAUUGGUUUCUGCUCGGCUCGCAGGCGCACUGCACGAGUGGAGGCGUGGCUAGUGGCUGUGAUGAGAUAAAUCCAUGCAUAGCCUUUUCAUUGCGAGCUUGAAAGUUCUUUUCUAUUACAGUUUUAGCUUUAGGUUUAAUUGGUUCGACUGCCUUCUCCACAAUUUGGGCGAGAAUUUCCUUUGCCUUCUCAGCAAAAGUUGUUCUGCGGACCCGUCUGGGUCAACUUUCAUGAGGGACAUUGAGACAAACAAAUGAAAUAUGGGUCAAAGUACUCUGAGCAGCUACAAAAAGACCAGUCUAUCCUGCUGGAGACAGUGGCCAUGUGAAGAAAGAGCUCUUGCAGUAUGAAAGACCACAUGGAAAGAGAGGCCACAUGGAACCAACAGUCAGCAUCUUGGUUUCAGACACGUGAAGAAAUUCAUCUCAGACUGUGUAUCCUAAAUCAGGCACUUGCUGAAUCCAACUACAUGAGUGAGACCAGUUGACAACACAUGGAGCAGACAUGAGCUGUUCUCAGUGAGUCCUACACAAAUUCCUGACUCACAACACUGUGAGCAAUAAAAUGGUUGUUAUUUUAAGCCACUGAAGUUUGCAGUGAUUUCUUACAUAGGAAUAGAUAAAUG